rnacentral:rRNA from 1 species
UAUUGGACAAUGGGGGAAAGCCUGAUCCAGCCAUCCGCGUGGGUGAUGAAGGCCCUAGGGUUGUAAAGCCCUUUCGGCGGGGAAGAUAAUGACGGUACCCGCAGAAGAAGCCCCGGCUAACUUCGUGCCAGCAGCCCCGGUAAUACGAAGGGGGCUAGCGUUGCUGGCAAUCACUGGGCGUAAAGCCCACGUAGGCGGGUUGCUAAGUCAGGGGGGAAAUCCUGGAGCUUAACUCCAGAACUGCCUUUGAUACUGGCGGCCUUGAGUCCGGGAGAGGUGAGUGGAACUCCGAGUGUAGAGGUGAAAUUCGUAGAUAUUCGGAAGAACACCAGUGGCGAAGGCGGCUCACUGGCCCGGUACAGACGCGAGUCGAACA